ACCACGAACCUAGAAACCCAAAGAGAACAAUUACCAUCAAAUGCUGUACAGUCUAACUCAUUAAGUUCUGAUCUUCUCCUUGUGGAACUUUCCUAUUGCCUGGCUAAAUGAUACUCUUUUGAAUAAAAAAAAUUGACAACUUAACUCCAAUCACUAGUUUUUUAAAAAAAUAAAAAUACCAAAUCUAAUCUGUUUCAAAUUAUUCCACGAGACUUCCUAAAUUAUCAGAACAUGAGCCUUAAUUCCAGAAGAAUAAUUCAAUCUCAAAUACAAAAACCAAUUAAUGGGGAUUAAUAAUUACCACAGCACCAGUGUCCAUGUG
rnacentral:misc_RNA from 1 species